GAUGAACGCUGGCGGCGUGCCUAACACAUGCAAGUCGAGCGAUUCUCUUCGGAGAAGAGCGGCGGACGGGUGAGUAACGCGUGGGUAACCUGCCCUGUACACACGGAUAACAUACCGAAAGGUAUGCUAAUACGAGAUAAUAUACUUUUAUCGCAUGGUAGAAGUAUCAAAGCUCCGGCGGUACAGGAUGGACCCGCGUCUGAUUAGCUAGUUGGUAAGGUAACGGCUUACCAAGGCGACGAUCAGUAGCCGACCUGAGAGGGUGAUCGGCCACAUUGGAACUGAGACACGGUCCAAACUCCUACGGGAGGCAGCAGUGGGGAAUAUUGCACAAUGGGCGAAAGCCUGAUGCAGCAACGCCGCGUGAGCGAUGAAGGCCUUCGGGUCGUAAAGCUCUGUCCUCAAGGAAGAUAAUGACGGUACUUGAGGAGGAAGCCCCGGCUAACUACGUGCCAGCCGCCGCGGUAACAC
rnacentral:rRNA from 1 species